rnacentral:miRNA from 1 species
UCCAAUGGAUUUUAGUUAUAUAAAAAAAAUGGAUCCGAUGGACCUGAUGGAUCCAUUGGAUCCAUCGGACCAUUUUUUUUAUAUAACUAAAAUCCAUUGGAUC